UGGUCGUAGGUUCAAGGUGGUUAGAGCGCACGCCUGAUAAGCGUGAGGUCGGUGGUUCGAGUCCACUCGUGCCCAU
rnacentral:tRNA from 1 species